rnacentral:rRNA from 1 species
AUUGAACGCUGGCGGCAGGCUUAACACAUGCAAGUCGAACGAGCGGCGGACGGGUGAGUAAUGUCUGGGAACCUGCCUGAUGGAGGGGGAUAACUACUGGAAACGGUAGCUAAUACCGCAUACCAUCAGAUGUGCCCAGAUGGGAUUAGGUAGUAGGUGGGGUAAUGGCUCACCGAGGCGACGAUCCCUAGCUGGUCUGAGAGGAUGACCAGCCACACUGGAACUGAGACACGGUCCAGACUCCUACGGGAUGCAGCAGUGGGGAAUAUUGCACAAUGGGGGCAAGCCUGAUGCAGCCAUGCCGCGUGUAUGAAGAAGGCCUUCGGGUUGUAAAGCACUUUCAGCGAGGAGGCGUUAAUCACAGAAGAAGCACCGGCUAACUCCGUGCCAGCAGCCGCGGUAAUUC